rnacentral:rRNA from 1 species
UACAGAGGUGGCAAGCGUUGUUCGGAAUUACUGGGCGUAAAGGGCGCGUAGGCGGCCUUGUAAGUCCUGUGUGAAAUCCCCCGGCUCAACUGGGGAACUGCACAGGAGACUGCUUGGCUUGAGUUCGGGAGAGGGAAGCGGAAUUCCGGGUGUAGCGGUGAAAUGCGUAGAUAUCUGGAGGAAUACCGGUGGCGAAGGCGGCAUCCUGGACCGGCAUUGACGCUGAGGAGCGAAAGCCAGGGGAGCAAACGGG